GUCCAGCAGUUCAGUAGGAUAGACCAACAGCCUUCUAAGCUGUAGAUCGGGCGUUCGAAUCUCUCCUGGGACA
rnacentral:tRNA from 1 species